UACGUUGUUUAAUUGCGUUGUUUGAGGAGUCACCCUUUACGUUGUUUCAUAGGCUUACCUUACCUGUGGUGGCAGGGUCUGCUCUGAUCAGUCAACCUGCUGUAUGACCAAUGGAGGAUACGCCUGCUGUCCCUUCCCUGAAUGAGUACGAAACUAAUUUGACACCACGAGUAUAGAUGUAGAUCUUCAAUGGUGAAACCAACUUUUCGGUCAAAACGAAAACCCUCAUCAGACCUCACUGAGAGAUAUUAGAGAUUCAUUGCAUAUGAUUUACGAGAUACAGCUGCAACACCACGGAACAGAUGUGUGUGAAAUAUUACCAACCAUAGAGCAGUGUGCCCAUGCUGAACAAGGUGGCUGCAGAGGAACCACGCUCUCCUGUCUCUCCCCCACUUGAGUCUAUCAUCCCAGAGCAAUGCUGCAGCAAUUCUGCAGCAGUGGAGAGCUCUGUCUCUUUGGUGCACUGUGAUUGCUCAAAUAUCUGCCCUGCUGCAGUCACCCCGAGGGCGGGUGGAGCUGCUGUCCAUUUUCCUAUAGCGUGUGCUGUCUGGAUGGUGUCCACUGCUUUCCUUGUGGUUAUAAGUGUGACCGCAUACACACCAAGUGUCUGAAGACUGAUGGCCUGAGGUACCCCUUUAUUCCGAGGCAGGCCCACUUCCUUCCUAUGAUCGAACACACCAAGAUAUCCAAGGUCAACGACCAGGUGCCACAAUAUGUUCCAGACGUAACAAAUAUAGUGUGUGAGCAGCUAGCGCUGUUCACUUUCUAUCAAUACAUGACACUUUGUCCACAGUUUAUCAUCAGUCAUGACAUUCUCAGACAAAGGCACGCUGGAUGUCAGCUUUAUACCAUUAAUUGAAUUGAGACAUUGUUCCUGCUCACUGAUAUUGUGUUGCUUUGGUGUUACUACCCUGAGAGUAAGAUCUUGCAGUUGCGGUUUUCUCUUCUUUUAGCAGGUCCCAUGGACACUACUUGGUUGCCGUUGACAGCACCCAACAUGGCUGGGUUAUUCACUUCCGCAGGAAAUCAACUGACUUCCAGCUACAGUAACCCGUUGUGGCAAGGGAAACACUGGAAAAUACUGUUGUCUACAGCUAUCUAAGCCAAACUAACAAUAUUUUAUUUUGAAUUACAUUUUGCCUAACUACUGAGAUUGGGAUUGUACACUUUUUGUGAAUGCAUUAUAUGUACAUGAAUGGGGAAUCAUGACACCCACUCAUUGUUGAUUUCAUAAAACAGACAGGUCAAUAAAAUAAAUUA